ensembl:snRNA U6 U6 spliceosomal RNA
GUGCUUGCUUUGGCAACACAUAUACUAAAAUUGGAACAAUACAGAGAAGAUGAGCAUGGUCCCUGCGCAAGGAUGACACGCAAAUUUGUGAAGUGGUCCAUAUUUAA